AUCUUCUUUUUUUUUGGGUUGUUAUGAUUUGGUUAGAUUUGUAGUUGAAUCCUAAUUGGAUUAGGAUUAAUAUUUAAAUUUAUUGGAGAUAAAUUAAGAUUUAAAUAUUAAUUAGAGUAUGAAUCUAACUAGAUUAGGAUAAAUAUUUAAAUCUAUUGAAGAUAAACUAAAUAUAGAUUUCAAUAUUUAUUAGAGUAGGAAUGCUAAAUAUACUAGGAUUUGGGUACGUUUUAUUCUAAGCAUUAUAUAAGUACCAUGUGGGGUGCUUUUGGAGGGUGAGUACCGCUUAAAAGUUGAAGCUCUUUGGUGGGUUGUACCAGAGAGAGAGAGAGAGAGUUGGCCGGUUACAUGCACCUAGUGCACGGGUGCAUGUGAGAGAGAAAGAGAGUUGUCUUUUAAAUUUAUAAAAGACGAGAAUGAUAGAAGAGAUUUAGAAAGAGGGUUCAGGUUGUAGCUACUCUGUGCAGAAGAGGAGUCAGGUGUAAUCUUCUCUUAUUUAAUGAAUCUUAUUUUACCUGCAUAUUUUUCUCUUUUAUGAUUAUAUCAGCUUCUGCUGAGGAGACGGGUUUAUGGUAAAAACCCGAUUCGAUGCUUCCGUUGCGGAAUUC
rnacentral:lncRNA from 1 species